rnacentral:rRNA from 1 species
CGAAAGCCUGACGGAGCAAUACCGCGUGAGGGAUGACGGCCUAUGGGUUGUAAACCUCUUUUUUCAGGGAGGAAUAAAUGACGUGUACCUGAAGAAUAAGCAUCGGCUAACUCCGUGCCAGCAGCCGCGGUAAGACGGAGGAUGCAAGUGUUAUCCGGAAUCACUGGGCGUAAAGCGUCUGUAGGUGGUUUAGCAAGUCAACUGUUAAAUCUUGAGGCUCAACCUCAAAAUCGCAGUCGAAACUGCUAGACUAGAGUAUAGUAGAGGUAAAGGGAAUUUCCAGUGGAGCGGUGAAAUGCGUAGAGAUUGGAAAGAACACCGAU